UUUGGGUUUUUUAGGGGUUUUUAUUAAGACUUUAAAGGAAAGUACAAAAGUAAUCACAAAGCAAAAGCAACUUCAUUUCUAAUUUUAACUUCACCCAAAACAAGAAAUUAUUCAGAGAACUGAUCGUCACUAUCUUCUUUAACAGUAGGAUCAAAUAUUUACAACAAGCAACUUUCAGAGAUUUAACAUCCAACAACUACUUCAAGUCUGACAUAUAAAAGAUGGUGUUUCAGAAAUUAGACUUUCAUUGAGUUGAACUUUGAUGCCAUCAUGCACAGGAAGCCUUUAAACUUAACUAAAAUCAGACACAUGAAAGAAAACAUAAUUAUAAUAAACACUUUAAAACUUAUAAAUCAUAAUUUUCAGGGAUGUUUUUGGAGCCUUUACAGCAUUUUUUUUGUUUUACAUGAAUAUUUACACAACUGGAAACAGAGUCCUAAUUAAGUGCAAAUGUGUUGAAACUAAAUUCAGAUUAAUUUCAGGAUUUAAUGGCAGAUUAGGGAGCCAAAUUCAAAAUGAUUGAUCAGCUGAUUUGAUAAAAGUGAACAAACAAAACCAGAGCACAAACAAACGUCUUUCUUUAUAUAAUCAUCAGUAAGAUCUCUGCUGGUUGGCAGACUUCUGUAUUUUAAAGCUGUAUUUCUCCAGACUGCUGCUAAACACCAUGAGUACUUAACAGAAAAUGUGAAAGCAUGUUAAUGUUCAUAAAACCAAAACUGAUUUAAGUGCAAAGCUCCCAACACCAGAAGGAUCAAACUGUUACUGUGGUUGAUGAGUUUAAGAUGAACACAGAAAUCUUUAUCACGGAUGAACAAAAAUCAGUGUGACGCUUUCACUGAUGAAGAUUGUGUUUAACUUCUUUACAAUUGAGAGAAAAAAAAAUCAUCUUCAUAGAAUAUUUUUAUAAUUUCAGCAGGACUUUCAUCAAAAGCUAAAUACACAACCUGAUGUCCUAAUUUAUGUUUGAGAAGAUGCGCUGUAGAUUAUUGUUAUUCAUUAGUCAACUCAUUUAAAACUUAUUUUUUUGUAUUUUCUCAAUAAGCAUCACAAAUAUGAUUCCAGCCCUGAUCACUUUAUGUUGUGUAUGAAGAAAAAAAAAACAAUUGUUUCCCAGGAAAAUGUGUUGGAUCUCCUCCUUGUUAGGCAGGGAAAUAUGUCCACCAACCUUAAAAAAGCAGAAGGGACAAAACUUUAAAGACAAAAUCAUUUCUGAUAUUUUUUUCAAAGGAUAUGUCAAUAAAAAAGGUAUUAAUGAUGGAUUCAUGUCUAAAGUCCUCAGAAAGUUUUGUUUUCACACAGCUUAAGGGUGACAACAGGUAACAAAACCAGGCUCAUCAAAUGUGACUCACUGGGUUCAGGGUGGUGUGUUUGUCUUUUAGGCGCUUGGGUUUGGAAGCAUUUUCUCUUGCUCCACAGGGGCAGUAUAGACUGCUGUAAGAUCAGAAAGCAACACGUUAGCAAUUAAACCAUCAUUUAAAAAUUUAAGUCAAAUUAAGGAUAAAAACAAACUUUACUUACGAGAUGGAGGACGUUUGGCUGGAAAAGAAACAAAACAAACAAUGAACAAAUUUGAAAUCCUCCACCUGUCACAUCCUGAAUCUCAUCCUGGAUUCUGAAAAUGUUAUCUUUUUCUACUUUUGCCACGAGGACACAAACGAGGACGGGAUGAAAAAGACAAACUGAGACUGUCUCUGCUUUGACCUCUCACCAUUUUGCUUCUUCUUGUAGAAGUAGACCCCUCCACAGAUGAUGGUGGAGAGAAGAAUCAACACAGCAACAACGAUGAUGAUCGUGUACAAGAGAUUCCCUGUGAAGCAGAAAACAACAAAGUGAAGUCAAACUCUGAACAGAUGAAGUUGAUUAAAGAGAACAUUUGUUGUUUGUUUCCAGUCUCACCAGAGUUUGUCCUGAUCUUAGUCUUGUCCAGGUUGGUGAUGAUGUCCUCCUGACCAGCCAGCUGAAACACACACUCAUACUUCCCCCAGUCAUCAGACGGGACUUUCAGGUCAGCACUCAUCUGGAAGGAUCCGUCAGGGUUGGGGAGGGUCUCUCCGAGGUCCACCUCCUCAUGAAGCUCCUCUCCAUCUUUCCUCCAGAGCAUCAUGGCUCUGUUGGGGUAGAAACCUGAAGCGUGGCAGGUGACCGGAGAGGACGGAGACUUCUGGAGGAGAGACACUGAGGGGAGGUCUGGAG